AUUGAACGCUGGCGGCAGGCCUAACACAUGCAAGUCGAACGGUAACAGGAAGAAGCUUGCUUCUUUGCUGACGAGUGGCGGACGGGUGAGUAAUGUCUGGGAAACUGCCUGAUGGAGGGGGAUAACUACUGGAAACGGUAGCUAAUACCGCAUAACGUCGCAAGACCAAAGAGGGGGACCUUCGGGCCUCUUGCCAUCGGAUGUGCCCAGAUGGGAUUAGCUAGUAGGUGGGGUAACGGCUCACCUAGGCGACGAUCCCUAGCUGGUCUGAGAGGAUGACCAGCCACACUGGAACUGAGACACGGACCAGACUCCUACGGGAGGCAGCAGUGGGGAAUAUUGCACAAUGGGCGCAAGCCUGAUGCAGCCAUGCCGCGUGUAUGAAGAAGGCCUUCGGGUUGUAAAGUACUUUCAGCGGGGAGGAAGGGAGUAAAGUUAAUACCUUUGCUCAUUGACGUUACCCGCAGAAGAAGCACCGGCUAACUCCGUG
rnacentral:rRNA from 1 species